rnacentral:rRNA from 1 species
AUGCUUUCUGGUGCUUCUGCUUGUGGCCAGACAUGUGAGCAUGAGAUGGCCAAAGUUGUUCUGGAUCUCAGUGUGUGCUCCCUUGGCGUCCGUCAUCGUAUCCACCCUGCUCGUCUUCCUGUUCAAAGCGCAGAACCAUGCCAUCAGCAUCGUAGGAGAACAACAAAGACUGAGCUUCCGCCGCAGAUUAGGUCACUUAAAUGUGGCUUGAAUUGCCCCUCGUGGGACAAACUGCUCUUCGAUCUGACAUAUCUUGGACUUGCCAUGAAGACCGGCCUCGCCUCGUCACCGGAAUCAUCUCCCCUACAGAAGGAGUAG